AAGACUAUACUUUCAGGGAUCAUUUCUAUAGUAUGAGACAUUUUUAAGUCACAAAGACUCUUUAUUUAGAGAAAAAGCUCGGUGUU
rnacentral:snoRNA from 1 species